UUAGUUUAUUCUUGAACACAUACAUAACAUCACCAAAUAUAUCACUGGUAUUUUAGACAUACAAUCUAUUAUCUUCACAAGUUAUUAGAACCAAAGAUUUGAAAGCAGUCACUGAUUACUGUGUGAUAGCGAUAGCUAGGGAUGUGCCAGCUCCCUGUAACACAGGUGGUAGAACAACAGUAGUGCGCGACAUACUACACAGCCAGUUUUUUUUUGGACACAUUUAAUUGUGAAAUUAAGAAAAUAUAAACAAUAUCUAUAUUCACUAGGAUAGGUACGUGACCUUUUUUUUCCUACCAACUUUAAAGUCGAGAAGAAAAUGGAAUAAAAAGGAACUGAAUACAUUAUUAAAAUUACAAAAACUUUUAUCGCAAAGCAGUGGUUUGUAAUCUCACACUAAAAGAUGAAGUUUUUAGUUCAAGUUUUUAUAUGUUUCAUUUCACUGAGUAGAAUUAAAUCAGAUUUUUGUGACAAUACAGCCACUAGCAGUCCUAAUGCCCCUCAGAUGCCUGGCUCAAUACA
rnacentral:sRNA from 1 species